UAAUACAGAGGGUGCGAGCGUUGUCCGGAAUCACUGGGCGUAAAGGGCGCGUAGGCGGCUUGGUAAGCGUGCGGUGAAAGCUCGGGGCUCAACCCCGAGUCUGCCGUGCGAACUGCCGAGCUGGAGCACGGUAGAGGCACAUGGAAUUCCGGGUGUAGCGGUGGAAUGCGUAGAGAUCCGGAAGAACACCGGUGGCGAAGGCGGUGUGCUGGGCCGUAGCUGACGCUGAGGCGCGACAGCGUGGGGAGCAAACAGG
rnacentral:rRNA from 1 species